rnacentral:rRNA from 1 species
CCUACGGGUGGCAGCAGUGAGGAAUAUUGGUCAAUGGGCUUACGCCUGAACCAGCCAAGUCGCGUGAGGGAAGACUGCCCUAUGGGUUGUAAACCUCUUUUGUCAGGGAGCAAUUGGCGCUACGUGUAGCGUUAUCGAGAGUACCUGAAGAAAAAGCAUCGGCUAACUCCGUGCCAGCAGCCGCGGUAAUACGGAGGAUGCGAGCGUUAUCCGGAUUUAUUGGGUUUAAGGGGGCGUAGGUGGAUUGUUAAGUUAGUUGUGAAAGGUUGCGGCUCAACCGUAAAAUUGCAGUUGAAACUGGCAGUCUUGAGAACAGUAGAGGUAGGCGGAAUUCGUGGUGUAGCGGUGAAAUGCUUAGAUAUCACGAAGAACUCCGAUUGCGAAGGCAGCUUACUGGACUGCAACUGACACUGAGGCUCGAAAGUGUGGGUAUCAAACAGGAUUAGAUACCCUUGUAGUC